rnacentral:pre_miRNA from 1 species
AAGCUACUCCCUCCGUUCCAAAUUACUUGUCUUGGAUUUGUCUAGAUACGGAUGUAUCUAGACUCAUUUUAGUGCUAGAUACCUCCGUAUCUAGACAAAUCUAAGACAAGUAAUUCGGAACGGAGGGAGUAAUUG